rnacentral:tRNA from 1 species
GUCUCGGUAGUUUAAAGGCUUAGGAUUCUCGCACGAAAUGCAAGAGAUCCGGGUUCAACUCCCGGCCGAGGCC